CUGACACAUCUUAUUACGAGAAUGGACUAUGAUACCGCCCGAAGUGUGCUAAAUUUAUAAACAGCCUGCCCAAAGCUUUCCGAUGAUUUAUAUAAUAAAGGAAAAAAUGAUUCUAUCGGGAGUGCUCGCAUGGGCAUUCUUUUUUAUUUGAUCAAUCACUAAACAACUUUAAACGAGGAAGUAUGAUCGAUCGUGAACAUCUGAUGGGUGAUAUAAAAUAUUACGGAAAAAGGAGAAGCAUCGUAAGGAGAAUUGGGUCCUUUUUACCACUGAAACCACUACCGAAAAUAUAUGUCAGCGUAACACCAUUGCAUUCAAUGACAAGUUCAAUGAUUAACGAAGAAUCCACUAGCAAUUAUGCUGACGCAAAUGGAUAUGAUUCUUCAAGACUUUUCAGCAGUAGGCCAGACCUAUUAGAACCUAUUAGUUUUGGAUCUGAAGUACGAUUGCUUGCACUGGAACAAGAAUUGCAAGAACUUAGGGAACAAAUUUCAACAAUUGUGAAAAAUAAUAAACUGUCUAAACAUGCAUCUAUUGCAUCUUUGUCCAAUAAAGUUGACGAUGGAGAACCUUUGUCAGUACCGCCACCACCUCCGCUUCCGCCACCUACGCCGCAUAUCGCCAGGAGGGCUAGUUUACAAGAUCACAAAAUUGAAGAUCGUAUGAGGAUUUCACUGAGUGUACAAAACUCGACGGGUGAUAUGCUUAAAGAUAUUGACAAUGUAAAAUUGAAGCCAAUUGCAAGCUCUAAUGUUAUUUGGGGGAUAAUGAGAAGAGGAUAAUAUGAGUUUCGAUUGGAGAAGUGCCCAGACAAUGAAAGUACCGAUCUUAAAUCUUAGAUCAUAUACGGAAAGCAAUCUUGAAUCUUGGCUAGUCUGAGCGUUUUGUCAUCGUUUUCGCGCAAAAUGAUGACAAAAGACCACAAAAGACCUACUGCCUUCUAUUGUUUCCGACUGUCUUCAUUAUAUGAGAUCACCGCAAAGCCAUAAGUGGAUUCAGCGAUAUAGCAGCUAUAGAGGAAAGGACUAAAAACGUUAGUCUGGGCAUUACUUUAAACGUCCAGAAGACCUCAAUUUCCUCUUGUCUACAUGUAUCUGUCUAAAUUAUAACAAUUAAAUUAUAUAUGAAUCGACGUGUCCUCAUGAGAAUUUUCAACGCCAUCAAUUUGUACUAUAAUUGAUCACAUAAUACAUUGUCACACGCUGUCUGUAUAUUUAAGAAGAUCGUGUAUUGUUCUUCGAGUUUUUCUCAGAACACGGCAGUCACUAUAAUUUUAUUACAAUGCAUGAAACUUCAAGGUUGUCAUUGUCAUGAUCUUUCUUUUCAUUAUCAUAUACUCCAUGAUUUUGCACAUACAUAUAUGACGUUAAUGAAAUCGGUCUAAAUUUUAUGUUUUCAUCUUUUGGAAUAAAAAUCAUUGAAUAUGACUUGGAAAAGAGCCCAUCUGUAACACCAAAUUGUAAGUUCUUAGUAAUAUUUUCCAAACUUGAGAAAAAAUUUUAAUUAGAUGGUAGUCGAUAUUGUCUAAACCUGAACGUGAUUUCAUUUUAGUAGAUUCUAAGACUUUGUUCAAUUCUAAUUAUGAAAAAGAGGUAUUUAAGAUUCAUCUCUCCUCAUUCUCCAAGAUUCAACUUUUCAAAACGAGGCUCUUCUAUCUCGGCCUAAAGAGAAUACAGUUUCGACAGUCUCGAAUUUUACCUUCUUAAUGCAUUAAACUCAUUGUUGUUGUUAGAUCUGUUCCAUUUGACUUUAACUCUUUUAACAGUAUUUCAAACAUAAGAAAAACUAGAUUCUCUACGAAGGCUAGAAAAAAAGGUUUGAAAAUUCUCUUGAUCCGUUUAAGUUCACAUCACAUUGGUUACCGCUUUUUUAUAUUCUAUAAAAUUUUGAUAAUUCCCUCUGCUUAAAUUUCAAGAGAGUUGCCUUUCUGAAACGUAAUCUGUUGCAUUCUUCUGUCCACCACAAACAGGGUGGUUGAAAUAUUUUAUUACAAGAGAUUCCCGUUUCUCUUUAUUGAAUUCUGGAGUUGGUUUUAACUAGGGCUUCUUCAAUAAUACCUAUGAAGAAAAUAUAGAACAUUUCCAUCUCCAUACGAACUUCCCAUAACUCUGAAGAUCUUUUGAUUUCAGACUCUAUAGUGGACCGAAAAAUCUGUUUCAAUCUGUUUAAAUAGAAUAUACCUAUUAAUAAAUCUAUUCGCUUUUCUCAA